rnacentral:rRNA from 1 species
CCUACGGGUGGCAGCAGUAGGGAAUCUUGCUCAAUGGACGAAAGCCUGAAGGAGCAACGCCGCGUGGGUGAAGAAGGUCUUCGGAUCGUAAAACCCUGUUGUUAGAGAAGAAAGUGCGUGAGAGUAACUGUUCACGUAUCGACGGUAUCUAACCAGAAAGCCACAGCUCACUACGUGCCAGCAGCCGCGGGAAUACGUAGGAGGCAAGCGCUAUCCGGAUUGAUUGGGCGGAAAGGGAACGCAGGCGGUCUUUUAAGUCUGAUGUGAAAGCUUUCGGCUUAACCGGAGUAGUGCAUUGGAGACUGGGAGACUUGAGUGCAGAAGAGGAGAGUGGAACUCGAUGUGUAGCGGUGAAAUGCGUAGAUAUAUGGAAGAACACCAGUGGCGAAAGCGGCUUUCUGGUCUGUAACUGACGCUGAGGUUCGAAAGCGUGGGUAGCAAACAGGAUUAGAUACCCGAGUAGUC